rnacentral:lncRNA from 1 species
CGGACUCCAGACGGACUUAUCCAACAGAAAGUUUCCAUCCGAGCUUCUACAGUAGAUGACUUCCACCCACAGCAUCAACGCCUAAGGAACCCAACAACAGUUAAUCCGUCAGCAACCUCGAAAACAUUCGAGCUUCUCUUAGAUUACUGAGACAGAGAGCUAUUCUACCCCACCAGACAUCCCAACCGAGCUUCAGCCAUCCGGCCCCACCACUCUCUGGCAAGUUACAACAACAGACACCACACCACUCUCCGUAACAAACUCCACAUGGCCCCACCAC